UACGUAGGUGGCGAGCGUUGUCCGGAUUUACUGGGCGUAAAGGGCGCGUAGGCGGCCUUCUAAGUCGAACGUGAAAUCCCCGGGCUCAACCCGGGAACUGCGUCCGAUACUGGAAGGCUUGAAUCCGGGAGAGGGAUGCGGAAUUCCAGGUGUAGCGGUGAAAUGCGUAGAUAUCUGGAGGAACACCGGUGGCGAAGGCGGCAUCCUGGACCGGCAUUGACGCUGAGGCGCGAAAGCCAGGGGAGCAAACGGG
rnacentral:rRNA from 1 species